CAGGGAGGAGGUUGCACACCAGUGCCGGCUGCUGGCUGGGAGUGGAGAGCAUGCUCAGCUUGCCUGUGACCAUGUUUGCUUUUUCUGCUGGAGGAACAGAGGAUUGAAUCACCCUGAUGGUUCCAAGGUCUCUCCUAAGUGGUUGGGUGAUCACCACUGUUGCAAAGCUGGAACUGCAUCAAAUCAACAUGUCAAAGAUCAUAUUAGACAUUCCUUCACUCACCCUAUGAAAUAUUGGCCAUUUUCUGACACAUGGAGAAAACAGCUGGCAACAAGUUGAACUGUGUGGAAAGUUUGAAGAACACCAGACCAGACAUUAAUAAGUCAACAGCCUCCAGAAAAGGUCAAGCUCUG